rnacentral:pre_miRNA from 1 species
AAAAAGACAAACCCUAGGUUUUCAUGCUCAACGUUUGACUGUUCGUCUUAUAUGAAAUUUUUUUAUAAUAAGUAUUUUCAUUGUUGUUAGAUGAUAAAACAUGAUUAAUAUUUUAUGCGUGACUUAUCUUUUUAAUUUAUUUUUAUAAUUUUUUUAAAUAAAAUGGACGGUCAAACGUUGGACAUGGAAACCCAGGGUUUGUCUUUUU